rnacentral:rRNA from 1 species
UCGUCUUUGACCUCGGAUCAGGUAGGGAUACCCGCUGAACUUAAGCAUAUCAAUAAGCGGAGGAAA